rnacentral:lncRNA from 1 species
GAAUUUCCGUGAGCAGCAUUUAUCGGCACAGGUUUUCAGCCUUUCGAUCGAGCAACACACGGACAUGGGAUCCGUUGAAAGUAUAUCCGCACAUGUUGGUUGGUCAACACCAAGGAAGAUAAAUUGCUCCUGCUAGAAAGAGUAAUAUAAUUUGCUAGUCGGACAUAAACUAUGAAUGGAGGAUCAAACCAACCCUAUAUCGACAAAUUUCGGCAAAAAUUAAAACUUCAGGAGGAGUAAACCUGAAUGUAGAUUCGAGAUGGUUUGUCUGAUUGUCGUCUUCUCCCCGCUCCAAGAAAAGUACAUUCUUUUUCUCUUCAUGUGUCAAUUUGAAGAAAGCAUUCGGGCCUUUCAGUCUUGCAGCACGUACAUGGAGUCUAUUCAAUCAGCAUUUUCUGUUGGUGAAUAACCUAUAAAUUUGUUUUGCUAAUAGAGGUAAGUUAUUUGCUGGUGGGUAUUAAACUGUAAACAAAGGAUCAAACUAACUGUAGAACAUUUUUUGACAGAAGGUAAAAC